UACAGAGGGUGCGAGCGUUGUCCGGAAUCACUGGGCGUAAAGGGCGCGUAGGUGGCUUGCCAAGCGUGUGGUGAAAGCCCGGAGCUCAACUCCGGGUCGGCCAUGCGAACUGGCAGGCUAGAGCACGGUAGAGGCCAAUGGAAUUCCGGGUGUAGCGGUGGAAUGCGUAGAGAUCCGGAAGAACACCGGUGGCGAAGGCGGUUGGCUGGGCCGAUACUGACGCUGAGGAGCGAAAGCGUGGGGAGCGAACAGG
rnacentral:rRNA from 1 species